AGAGUUUGAUCCUGGCUCAGGACGAACGCUGGCGGCGUGCCUAAUACAUGCAAGUUGAGCGCUGAAGGUUGGUACUUGUACCGACUGGAUGAGCAGCGAACGGGUGAGUAACGCGUGGGGAAUCUGCCUUUGAGCGGGGGAUAACUAUUGGAAACGAUAGCUAAUACCGCAUAACAAUAGAGAUUGCAUAAUCUUUAUUUGAAAGUACCAACUGGUACACUAUGAGAUGGACCCGCGUUGUAUUAGCUAGUUGGUAGUGUAAUGGACUACCAAGGCGAUGAUACAUAGCCGACCUGAGAGGGUGAUCGGCCACAUUGGGACUGAGACACGGCCCAAACUCCUACGGGAGGCAGCAGUAGGGAAUCUUCGGCAAUGGACGAAAGUCUGACCGAGCAACGCCGCGUGAGUGAAGAAGGUUUUCGGAUCGUAAAACUCUGUUGUUAGAGAAGAAUGUUGAUUAGAGUGGAAAAUUAAUCAAGUGACGGUAUCUAACCAGAAAGGGACGGCUAACUACGUGCCAGCAGCCGCGGUAAUACGUAGGUCCCGAGCGUUGUCCGGAUUUAUUGGGCGUAAAGCGAGCGCAGGUGGUUUAAUAAGUCUGAUGUAAAAGGCAGUGGCUCAACCAUUGUGUGCAUUGGAAACUGUUAGACUUGAGUGCAGUAGAGGAGAGUGGAAUUCCAUGUGUAGCGGUGAAAUGCGUAGAUAUAUGGAGGAACACCGGUGGCGAAAGCGGCUCUCUGGACUGUCACUGACACUGAGGCUCGAAAGCGUGGGGAGCAAACAGGAUUAGAUACCCUGGUAGUCCACGCCGUAAACGAUGAGUGCUAGAUGUAGGGAGCUAUAAGUUCUCUGUAUCGCAGCUAACGCAAUAAGCACUCCGCCUGGGGAGUACGACCGCAAGGUUGAAACUCAAAGGAAUUGACGG
rnacentral:rRNA from 1 species